AUGUCCCAUUAUCCUUUUGAUCGUAGUUUUCACCCUGAGAUGAGCAGGACUCUUCUGAGGCUAGCUACCGAUUUCAGGAUGGACAAUAGGAUAGUUCCAUGGGACGAACUCACCGGUAGUGACACCAUAAUAAAUGAGUUGGCUCACGAAUUACGUAUGUCUGGGUGGCAUGAAAGGACCUAUGAGGAGGUACAUAUAGAACUUCUUAGGUUGCAUGCAAGGUGGAAGAAGGUAGUGGAGCCGGAGAGUGAAACUUUCAGAAGGACUGCAGAAAAGCAUCCAUUUUUAUGGACUGAGGAGAGCGAGGACGAAGAUGAUAUCUUCAUGCCGCCGCUUCCGGGUUCUGCAUCGUCAAAGAGCAAGAGUUUUGCAUCGUCCAAGGGCAAGAGUACUGCAUCCUCGAAGGGCAAGAGUUCUGCAUCGUCCAAGGGUAAGAGUUCUGCAUCCUCGAAGGGCAAGAGUUCUGCAUCGACGGAGGAUGACGAUGAUGACUUCAUGUAG
rnacentral:rRNA from 1 species